UGAACUCUGAAGCAUACUGAUCCCAUGACACAGGAUAUGAACCUCACAUCCCAUGUUAGGGUUAGUAUUCCUUGGGCAUCGAGAAUCUUCGGACGGGGGCUAGACGGCUUCAGUUUAACAUAGUCUGACGGAGCAGCAGAUUGUAUUUGGGGAUAAAGCUUCGGAGGGCAGGGGAUUGAUUGCGAACUGUGGCGAGAUCGUGCGUCUGGAUUGGCAGGAGCAGCAAAAAUCAUAAUCUGGCGUCAUGGGGAAUAAGCCUGCAAAGCAAGAGACUAGGAAGGAUGAGAUCUUUGCAAGAGUCAUGCCUCCACUAGACCAAGCCUUUGUUAGAUGGCUUGCUCGCGAUGUCAAAAGAUUGCAUGCUUUCGCCCCAAGAAAUCCUCGUGCCAUAAAACCACCGGAUCAUUAUAUAGAGUACAUGCGGCUGUAUGGUUGGCUGGAUCUCGACAUGGAUGAUCCGGACCUGGCUUGUUUGAUUAAGUAGUUUGUCUCGCCUUGCUAUGUACAUGAUGCAAGUGUCUCUCUGGUUGUUUAGUGGAUUUCACAAAUCGAGAUUGCAACUUCACUUAAUUCUUCUUUGAGAAUAUGUUGGAGAAAGACAGUCAUAUCAACUGCUGUGCAGAACAUAAUCCAUAAAGGUAAUGUGUAUGUAGAUUGCAAGUAUGAUGGUGUCUCGUGAUGGAACUCACCACGUAUUGAUGGAAUAUGUUUUUGAUGCUGA